CUACGGGGCGCUGCAGUGAGGAAUAUUGCACAAUGGGGGGAACCCUGAUGCAGCAACGCCGCGUGGAGGAUGACGCAUUUCGGUGUGUAAACUCCUUUUAUAUGUCAAGGAAAUGACGGUAGCAUAUGAAUAAGCACCGGCUAACUCCGUGCCAGCAGCCGCGGUAAUACGGAGGGCGCAAGCGUUACUCGGAAUCACUGGGCGUAAAGGACGCGUAGGCGGGUUGGAAAGUCAGGUGUGAAAUCCUACAGCUUAACUGUAGAACUGCACUUGAUACUUCUAAUCUAGAGUAUGGGAGGGGGAGAUGGAAUUCGUGGUGUAGGGGUAAAAUCCGUAGAUAUCACUAGGAAUACCUAAAGCGAAGGCGAUCUCCUGGAACAUUACUGACGCUAAGGCGUGAAAGCGUGGGGAGCAAACAGGAUUAGAUACCCCAGUAGUC
rnacentral:rRNA from 1 species